rnacentral:rRNA from 1 species
UACGGAGGAUCCAAGCGUUAUCCGGAAUCAUUGGGCUUAAAGGGUCCGUAGGCGGUUUAGUAAGUCAGUGGUGAAAGCCCAUCGCUCAACGGUGGAACGGCCAUUGAUACUGCUAGACUUGAAUUAUUAGGAAGUAACUAGAAUAUGUAGUGUAGCGGUGAAAUGCUUAGAGAUUACAUGGAAUACCAAUUGCGAAGGCAGGUUACUACUAAUGGAUUGACGCUGAUGGACGAAAGCGUGGGUAGCGAACAGG